rnacentral:rRNA from 1 species
AGUGGCGGACGGGUGAGUAACGCGUGGGUAACCUGCCCUGUACUGGGGGACAACAGUUGGAAACGACUGCUAAUACCGCAUAAGCGCACAGCAUCGCAUGAUGCAGUGUGAAAAACUCCGGUGGUACAGGAUGGACCCGCGUCUGAUUAGCUAGUUGGUGAGGUAAUGGCCCACCAAGGCAACGAUCGGUAGCCGGACUGAGAGGUUGAACGGCCACAUUGGGACUGAGACACGGCCCAGACUCCUACGGGAGGCAGCAGUGGGGAAUAUUGCACAAUGGGGGAAACCCUGAUGCAGCGACGCCGCGUGGAGGAAGAAGGUCUUCGGAUUGUAAACUCCUGUUGUUGGGGAAGAUAAUGACGGUACCCAACAAGGAAGUGACGGCUAACUACGUGCCAGCAGCCGCGGUAAAACGUAGGUCACAAGCGUUGUCCGGAAUUACUGGGUGUAAAGGGAGCGCAGGCGGGAAGACAAGUUGGAAGUGAAAUCUAUGGGCUCAACCCAUAAACUGCUUUCAAAACUGUUUUUCUUGAGUAGUGCAGAGGUAGGCGGAAUUCCCGGUGUAGCGGUGGAAUGCGUAGAUAUCGGGAGGAACACCAGCGGCGAAGGCGGCCUACUGGGCACCAACUGACGCUGAGGCUCGAAAGUGUGGGUAGCAAACAGGAUUAGAUACCCUGGUAGUCCACACCGUAAACGAUGAUUACUAGGUGUUGGAGGAUUGACCCCUUCAGUGCCGCAGUUAACACAAUAAGUAAUCCACCUGGGGAGUACGACCGCAAGGUUGAAACUCAAAGGAAUUGACGGGGGCCCGCACAAGCAGUGGAGUAUGUGGUUUAAUUCGACGCAACGCGAAGAACCUUACCAAGUCUUGACAUCCCUUGACAGGCAUAGAAAUAUGUUUUCUCUUCGGAGCAAGGAGACAGGUGGUGCAUGGUUGUCGUCAGCUCGUGUCGUGAGAUGUUGGGUUAAGUCCCGCAACGAGCGCAACCCUUAUGGUCAGUUACUACGCAAGAGGACUCUGGCCAGACUGCCGUUGACAAAACGGAGGAAGGUGGGGAUGACGUCAAAUCAUCAUGCCCUUUAUGACUUGGGCUACACACGUACUACAAUGGCGUUAAACAAAGAGAAGCAAGACCGCGAGGUGGAGCAAAACUCAGAAACAACGUCCCAGUUCGGACUGCAGGCUGCAACUCGCCUGCACGAAGUCGGAAUUGCUAGUAAUCGUGGAUCAGCAUGCCACGGUGAAUACGUUCCCGGGUCUUGCACACACCGCCCGUCA